CCUACGGGAGGCAGCAGUGAGGAAUAUUGGUCAAUGGGCGGAAGCCUGAACCAGCCAAGUCGCGUGCAGGAUGACGGCCCUACGGGUUGUAAACUGCUUUUAUACGGGAAUAACGCGCCUUACGUGUAGGGCUUUGCAUGUACCGUAUGAAUAAGGACCGGCUAGUUCCGUUCCAGCAGCCGCGGUAAUACGGAAGGUCCGGGCGUUAUCCGGAUUUAUUGGGUUUAAAGGGAGCGUAGGCCGCAUGUCAAGCGUGCUGUGAAAUGUCCGGGCUCAACCCGGGCCGUGCAGCGGGAACUGGCGGGCUUGAGUCCGCGGAAGGCAGGCGGAAUUCGUCGUGUAGCGGUGAAAUGCUUAGAUAUGACGAAGAACCCCGAUGGCGAAGGCAGCUUGCUGCAGCGGAACUGACGCUGAUGCUCGAAAGCGCGGGUAUCGAACAGGAUUAGAUACCCUUGUAGUC
rnacentral:rRNA from 1 species